rnacentral:rRNA from 1 species
GUAAGGAAUAUUGGUCAAUGGGGGCAACCCUGAACCAGCCAUGCCGCGUGCAGGAUGACUGCCCUAUGGGUUGUAAACUGCUUUUGUUAGGGAAUAAACCCCACUACGUGUAGUGGGCUGAAUGUACCUAAAGAAUAAGGAUCGGCUAACUCCGUGCCAGCAGCCGCGGUAAUACGGAGGAUCCGAGCGUUAUCCGGAUUUAUUGGGUUUAAAGGGUGCGUAGGCGGCACUUUAAGUCAGGGGUGAAAGACGGCAGCUCAACUGUCGCAGUGCCCUUGAUACUGAAGUGCUUGAAUGCGGUUGAAGACGGCGGAAUGAGACAAGUAGCGGUGAAAUGCAUAGAUAUGUCUCAGAACACCGAUUGCGAAGGCAGCUGUCUAAGCCGUUAUUGACGCUGAUGCACGAAAGCGUGGGGAUCGAACAGGAUUAGAUACCCCAGUAGUCC